GACAGAGGGUGCAAACGUUGUUCGGAAUCACUGGGCGUAAAGGGUGCGUAGGCGGGUCUUUAAGUCAGGGGUGAAAUCCUGGAGCUCAACUCCAGAACUGCCUUUGAUACUGAGGAUCUUGAGUUCGGGAGAGGUGAGUGGAACUGCGAGUGUAGAGGUGAAAUUCGUAGAUAUUCGCAAGAACACCAGUGGCGAAGGCGGCUCACUGGCCCGAUACUGACGCUGAGGCACGAAAGCGUGGGGAGCAAACAGG
rnacentral:rRNA from 1 species